CUUAAAGAACUUAUCCUGUAGGUAAGUAUUGGAGGUGCCUAGUUUAGCUUUUAGCCUAGAAAAUUGUAAUCUGACCAAAAAAAAAAAUUUGAUUCUAUUUGAUCCCAAAACCUACUAUUAUCCCAAUUCUAGAAAAAAAUCAACUUAACAACAAAGUAUUCCAAACUUUCUCAUCAAAAAUAUAGAAACAUACCCAUACAAACACAUGAAAAUGGGGCAAUGGCAAACGAAAAUUGUCUUUGAAUGAUUAAUAAACAAUCCAAUUCAAAGCGUUCGUAGAAGAACUGAUCGAAACAAACUCACCCCUACUGAUUACUGUCACUGACUAACAAUCACAAAACCAAGCAAAAACUCAGUUAGACAAUAGACUAUCCAGCAGAUUGAGAAUGUUGCAAACCAAAGUGGAAAAUUCUAUAUUUAAAAUUGUGGUGAUUUUCUUCUUAAGCAGUGCAGAAAUAGGGCAAGUCAUCAGCAUGCCUAAUAGUUCAAACAAUUUCCAACCUACUGCAUGUAUCAUCUCGAUUAGCAACUGCAAAUAGACGUUAAAAUAAACCAACACACGAGUACCCAAGUUUUAGUUCAAAAUUGGCCUAAGAAAAUCAGUGGCGGAAUUGACAUGCUGGAAACAUGAACAUUCACUUAAUCUCCUCAAACAUGGUGAACCACAAAGAACAAAUAUUAUCAAUUGGGAACUUCAACAGAUUCAGCCGAACAAUUAAUGUGAAGAUGAUUAUAAGAUCAUAGAAAAGGGAAUUUUUUUUGUUUCUGUUUUCUUUUCUUUUGAAAAAAAUGUAGACUAGAGCUGGCACACACACGAAUAAAGUUUCAGCCAAAACAACCAUGAGAGACUCCUUCAAAUCACAUUAUAAUCUCGGGGCAGAACAUAACAAACGCACCACCUAUGACUCAAGGGUUGCAACAGAAGGAUAAGUUCAAACACUACGUCUCAGCAAGACAAACUUUCGAAUGCUCGACCUAAUCGACUAAUGAACAAAAGACUCUGACCUCCUUCUCAUGAGAGCUUAUUCAAAUAGAAACCAACAACACCUCAAAUGCACCGCUUCAUGCUUACACCAUCACGUUCAGAAUCAAGCAAAACCAUGAUUCAAAUUCCUUGUUUUAGAGCAGCUUACUAACAGAUUAAACAACCACAACAGGACAACUGUGCAAACAAUAAGCGAACCAGUCGACUUGAAAUAAGAGUAGUGUGAAA
rnacentral:lncRNA from 1 species